GUGAAUCAUCAAAUUUUUGAACGCAAAUUGCACUCUCUUCGGAGAGUAUGCCUGUUUGAGGGUCAGCCUAAAAAAAAUCGACAUAGUCGCUGUUUCGCGGUGCCUUUCGUCGGAAAUUGGGUCAUCUUAAACCCUUGGGUUUUAAGCGGCUUAAAAUUUUCUUUACGAUUCUACGAACGUUUCUAAGAUUUCCUUACACGUUUACGGUAUCGAUUUUUAUUCGACGUUGCCGUUGCAUCGGGUCACGUCCAUAAAUAUUUCGUUGAAUAACCUUAAUCC
rnacentral:misc_RNA from 1 species